rnacentral:rRNA from 1 species
GUAGGGGGGCGAGCGUUGUCCGGAUUUAUUGGGCGUAAAGAGCUCGUAGGCGGCUCAGCAAGUCGGCCGUGAAAGCCUGAGGGCUCAACCUCAGAACGCCGGUCGAAACUGCUGUGGCUAGGGUUCGGUAGAGGAGAGUGGAAUUCCCGGUGUAGCGGUGAAAUGCGCAGAUAUCGGGAGGAACACCAGUAGCGAAGGCGGCUCUCUGGGCCGAUACCGACGCUGAGGAGCGAAAGCUAGGGGAGCGAACAGGAUUAGAUACCCUGGUAGUCCUAGCUGUAAACGUUGGGCACUAGGUGUGGCGGACUCAUUGACGUCUGCCGUGCCGAAGCUAACGCAUUAAGUGCCCCGCCCGGGGAGUACGGUCGCAAGGCUA